GGCUGGAGCUCAGUGGUAGAGCGCUCGCCUAGCAUGUGCGAGGCCCUGGGUUCAAUCCUCAGAACUA
rnacentral:tRNA from 1 species